UAGUCCUAGCCGUAAACGGUGUGCACUUGGUGUGGGAGGUUUUAUCCCCUUCCGUGCCGGAGCUAACGUGUUAAGUGCACCGCCUGGGGAGUACGGCCGCAAGGCUAAAACUCAAAGAAAUUGACGGGGGCCCGCACAAGCGGUGGAGCAUGUGGCUUAAUUCGAUGCAACGCGAAGAACCUUACCAAGGCUUGACAUGCAAUUGCACGCCCUGUGAAAGCAGGGUUCCUUCGAGGGUAUUGCACAGGUGCUGCAUGGCUGUCGUCAGCUCGUGCCGUGAGGUGUUAGGUUAAGUCCUGCAACGAGCGCAACCCUUGUGAAUAGUUGCUCAUCUUUUAGAUUAGCACUCUAUUCAGACUGCCCGUGACAAGCGGAGGAAGGUGGGGAUGACGUCAAGUCAGUAUGGCCCUUAUGCCUUGGGCUGCACACGUGCUACAAUGAAUGGUACAGAAAGAAGCAAGACCGCGAGGUGGAGCUAAUCUCAAAACCAUUACCC
rnacentral:rRNA from 1 species